UGGGGAAUUUUGGACAAUGGGGGAAACCCUGAUCCAGCCAUCCCGCGUGUGCGAUGAAGGCCUUCGGGUUGUAAAGCACUUUUGGCAGGAAAGAAACGUCGCGGGUUAAUACCCCGCGGAAACUGACGGUACCUGCAGAAUAAGCACCGGCUAACUACGUGCCAGCAGCCGCGGUAAUACGUAGGGUGCAAGCGUUAAUCGGAAUUACUGGGCGUAAAGCGUGCGCAGGCGGUUCGGAAAGAAAGAUGUGAAAUCCCAGAGCUUAACUUUGGAACUGCAUUUUUAACUACCGGGCUAGAGUGUGUCAGAGGGAGGUGGAAUUCCGCGUGUAGCAGUGAAAUGCGUAGAUAUGCGGAGGAACACCGAUGGCGAAGGCAGCCUCCUGGGAUAACACUGACGCUCAUGCACGAAAGCGU
rnacentral:rRNA from 1 species